AGGAAUUUAAGCGGCUUUUCUCCUAGACGCCCUCCUUCCCCCACCACCUCGAUUCCAUCCUUCCAAGAUCUUUGCCUUAAAAAAAUCCUCAAGAAGCAUGAGGAGGAGAAGAUUCAGUGGGCUUCUUUGGGGUUUUGUGUCUCUCUGACUCUGUCCAAGGGCAGUUUCAAGGAAAAAUACCAUCAAUUUUCGCCAACUGUGAUCAGAUCAAAAGUAGUCUCCGGCCAGCCAAGGCUGAACCUGCUCUGGACUUUCUACUUCUACUUCCCUAUUCUUCGCUUCCUGGGAAACUUGUCAGAACGGCAUGCAAGAGGAAGAUCAGCACUGCACUGGAGAAGCAUAUGUCGCAGUACAGAUAGUCCUCAACUUACAACAGUUCAUUUAGUGACCAUUCAUAGUUACAACGGCACUGUAAAAAGUGACUUACAAUCAUUUUUCACAUUUACCACCGUUGCAACAUCCCCAUGAUCACGUGAGCAAAAUUCAGACGCUUAGUAACUUACUCAUAUUUAUGUUGGUUGCGGUGUCCUGGGCUCAUGUGAUCACUUUUUUUACUUUCUGACAAGCAAUGUCAAUGGGGAAACCAGAUUCACUUAACAGCCACAUUACUAAUUUAACCACUGCAGUGACUCACUUAACAACGGUGUCAAGAAAGGUCAUAAAAUGGGGCAAAAUUCACUCAACGAUGUCUUGCUUUGCAACAAAAGUUUUGGGUCAUAUGUCAAGGACUACCUGUACUGGGCUGAAUUAGGCUAACCGCAUCUGGGGUGAAAAACCCUGGGCCAAUAGAGAGAGCUAAGAGUUACAGCCUACAUGUCAUUAUUUCUCCAACUUGGCAACUUUAAGAAGUAGAAAAUGUUUGUAGAUCAGGUUUUAGAUUUUGGCUGUGGUUUGUUCUCCAAG